CGUCGCUCAUUUAACUUAACUAAUUGUACUACCUCACCUUCGGAAAUAAUAACCGAAGCUUUAGCUAGAACAUUCAUAGCUUUAAUACAGCCAGAAGCAACCAUUAACUUAAAAGAUUGACUAAAAAGGAAAUCGCCAACUAAAAUACUUGUUUUACUGCCCCAAAUAACGUUAGCUGUAGG
rnacentral:sRNA from 1 species